rnacentral:rRNA from 1 species
CGAAGGGUGCAAGCGUUAAUCGGAAUUAUUGGGCGUAAAGGGCUUGUAGGGGGUUUGUUACGUUUGCUGGGAAAACCUAGGGCUUAACCCUGGGCCUGCAGUGGAUACGGGCAGACUAGAGGUAGGUAGGGGAGAAUGGAAUUCCCAGUGUAGAGGUGAAAUUCGUAGAUAUUGGGAAGAACACCGGUGGCGAAGGCGGCGACCUGGUCCUUUUACUGACGCUGAGGCGCGAAAGCGUGGGGAGCAAACAGG